rnacentral:rRNA from 1 species
CGGAGGGUGCAAGCGUUAUCCGGAUUUAUUGGGUUUAAAGGGUCCGUAGGCGGAUUUGUAAGUCAGUGGUGAAAUCCUGCAGCUCAACUGUAGAACUGCCAUUGAUACUGCUAAUCUUGAAUAUGGUUGAAGUGGGCGGAAUAUGACAUGUAGCGGUGAAAUGCUUAGAUAUGUCAUAGAACACCGAUAGCGAAGGCAGCUCACUAAGCCACAAUUGACGCUGAUGGACGAAAGCGUGGGUAGCGAACAGGAUUAGAUACCCUGGUAGUCCACGCUGUAAACGAUGAUCGCUCGACAUUAGCGAUAUACGGUUAGUGUCAGGAGCGAAAGUUUUAAGUGAUCCACCUGGGGAGUACGACCGCAAGGUUG